AGCUCCAAUAGCGUAUAUUAAAGUUGUUGUGGUUAAAAAGCUCGUAGUUGGAUCUCAACAGACUUGGAUCGGUUUACUUUGUGUAAUACUGAUCCAAAGCUGUGCUUUUGUCGGAGGUUUAGGGGUGCUCUUAACCGAGUGUCUCUGAGUGCCGACAGGUUUACUUUGAAAAAUUCAAUUCGCUUCAAGAAGGCUGUUAUGCUUGUAUGUUUGUGCAUGGAAUAAUAGAAUAGGAUGUUGAUCUUAUUUUGUUGGUUUUCGAGACUUGACAUAAUGAUUAAUAGGGACAGUCGGGGGCAUUUGUAUUCAAACGACAGAGGUGAAAUUCUUGGACCGUUUGAAGACAAACUACUGCGAAAGCAUUUGCCAAGAAUGUUUUCA
rnacentral:rRNA from 1 species